CGCUGGCGGCGUGCCUAAUACAUGCAAGUCGAGCGAGCUGAAUUCAAAGAUUCCUUCGGGAUGAUUUGUUGGACGCUAGCGGCGGAUGGGUGAGUAACACGUGGGCAACCUGCCCCUAAGUCUGGGAUACCAUUUGGAAACAGGUGCUAAUACCGGAUAAUAAAGCAGAUCGCAUGAUCAGCUUUUGAAAGGCGGCGUAAGCUGUCGCUAAGGGAUGGCCCCGCGGUGCAUUAGCUAGUUGGUAAGGUAACGGCUUACCAAGGCGACGAUGCAUAGCCGAGUUGAGAGACUGAUCGGCACAUUGGGACUGAGACACGGCCCAAACUCCUACGGGAGGCAGCAGUAGGGAAUCUUCCACAAUGGACGCAAGUCUGAUGGAGCAACGCCGCGUGAGUGAAGAAGGUUUUCGGAUCGUAAAGCUCUGUUGUUGGUGAAGAAGGAUAGAGGUAGUAACUGGCCUUUAUUUGACGGUAACCAACCAGAAAGUCACGGCUAACUACGUGCCAGCAGCCGCGGUAAUACGUAGGUGGCAAGCGUUGUCCGGAUUUAUUGGGCGUAAAGCGAGCGCAGGCGGAAAAAUAAGUCUAAUGUGAAAGCCCUCGGCUUAACCGAGGAACUGCAUCGGAAACUGUUUUUCUUGAGUGCAGAAGAGGAGAGUGGAACUCCAUGUGUAGCGGUGAAAUGCGUAGA
rnacentral:rRNA from 1 species